rnacentral:rRNA from 1 species
GACGAACGCUGGCGGCGUGCCUAAUACAUGCAAGUAGAACGCUGAAGGAGGAGCUUGCUUCUCUGGAUGAGUUGCGAACGGGUGAGUAACGCGUAGGUAACCUGCCUGGUAGCGGGGGAUAACUAUUGGAAACGAUAGCUAAUACCGCAUAAGAGUAGAUGUUGCAUGACAUUUGCUUAAAAGGUGCAAUUGCAUCACUACCAGAUGGACCUGCGUUGUAUUAGCUAGUUGGUGGGGUAACGGCUCACCAAGGCGACGAUACAUAGCCGACCUGAGAGGGUGAUCGGCCACACUGGGACUGAGACACGGCCCAGACUCCUACGGGAGGCAGCAGUAGGGAAUCUUCGGCAAUGGACGGAAGUCUGACCGAGCAACGCCGCGUGAGUGAAGAAGGUUUUCGGAUCGUAAAGCUCUGUUGUAAGAGAAGAACGAGUGUGAGAGUGGAAAGUUCACACUGUGACGGUAUCUUACCAGAAAGGGACGGCUAACUACGUGCCAGCAGCCGCGGUAAUACGUAGGUGGCAAGCGUUAUCCGGAUUUAUUGGGCGUGAAGAGAGUGCAGGCGGUUUUCUAAGUCUGAUGUGAAAGCCUUCGGCUUAACCGGAGAAGUGCAUCGGAAACUGGAUAACUUGAGUGCAGAAGAGGGUAGUGGAACUCCAUGUGUAGCGGUGGAAUGCGUAGAUAUAUGGAAGAACACCAGUGGCGAAGGCGGCUACCUGGGUCUGCAACUGACGCUGAGACUCCAAAGCAUGGGUAGCGACAGG